UAUGUAUCCUCUUCUACUUCUCCCCUGUUUUCACCGUCAUAUACACGUUAUGGUUUACUCAUUGGUUAAAAGAAAAUCAAGCCUGUGUGGUUUAUCCGGCUGUUGCAUAACCGUUUGUUUUCACACACUUCUCCUUGUAGUCUUUCACAGCUGCCUUGAUGGCGUCCUCCGCCAACAUACUGAAAUGGAGCUUGACUGGUGGGAGAGAAAGAAAUGGGAACCUUCUAUACAUUCA